rnacentral:rRNA from 1 species
UACGUAGGAGGCAAGCGUUGUCCGGAAUCACUGGGCGUAAAAGCGCGUGUAGGCGGAUCGCUAAGUCUGUGGUGAAAAGCGCCUGGCUUAACCGGGCGAGGUCCAUGGAAACUAGCGGUCUGGAGGCCGGUAGAGGGGGGGUGGAAUUCCGGGGUGUAGUGGGUGAAAUGCGUAGAGAUCCGGAGGAACACCAGUGGCGAAGGCGGCCCCCUGGGCCCGCGCCUGACGCUGAGACGCGAAAGCGCGGGGAGCGAACGGG